rnacentral:tRNA from 1 species
GCGCAUGUGGCGUAAUUGGUAGCCGCGCCAGACUUAGGAUCUGGUGCCGCAAGGCGUGGGGGUUCGAGUCCCUCCAUGCGCA